rnacentral:rRNA from 1 species
GACGAACGCUGGCGGCGUGCUUAACACAUGCAAGUCGAACGGAAAGGCCCUGCUUUCGUGGGGUGCUCGAGUGGCGAACGGGUGAGUAACACGUGAGUAACCUGCCCUUGACUUUGGGAUAACUUCAGGAAACUGGGGCUAAUACCGGAUAGGAGCUCCUGCUGCAUGGUGGGGGUUGGAAAGUUUCGGCGGUUGGGGAUGGACUCGCGGCUUAUCAGCUUGUUGGUGGGGUAGUGGCUUACCAAGGCUUUGACGGGUAGCCGGCCUGAGAGGGUGACCGGCCACAUUGGGACUGAGAUACGGCGCAGACUCGUACGGGAGGCAGCAGUGGGGAAUAUUGCACAAUGGGCGGGAGCCUGAGGCAGCAGCGCCGCGUGCGGGAUGACGGCCUUCGGGUUGUAAACCGCUUUCGCCUGUGACGAAGCGUGAGUGACGGUAAUGGGUAAAGAAGCACCGGCUAACUACGUG